UACGGAGGGGGCUAGCGUUAAUCGGAAUUACUGGGCGUAAAGCGUGCGCAGGCGGUUUUGUAAGUCUGUCGUGAAAUCCCCGGGCUCAACCUGGGAAUUGCGAUGGAGACUGCAAGGCUAGAAUCUGGCAGAGGGGGGUAGAAUUCCACGUGUAGCAGUGAAAUGCGUAGAGAUGUGGAGGAACACCGAUGGCGAAGGCAGCCCCCUGGGUCAAGAUUGACGCUCAUGCACGAAAGCGUGGGGAGCAAACAGG
rnacentral:rRNA from 1 species